rnacentral:rRNA from 1 species
AACGAACGCUGGCGGCAGGCCUAACACAUGCAAGUCGAGCGGGCUUUCUGGGGCCCGGCGGACGCGUGCGUAACACGUGGGAAUAUGCACUUCUCUACGGGAUAGCCUCGGGAGACUGAGAGUACUACCGUAUCCGCCCUAUGGGGCAAUGAGUUAUCGGGGAUGGAUUAGCCCGCGUUGGCUUUGGUUGUCGGUGGGGUAAUGGCCUACCAACCCGACGAUCCUUAGCUGGCUUGCGAGGAAGAUCAGCCACACUGGGACUGAGACACGGCCCAGACUCCUACGGGGGGCAACAGUGGGGAAUCUUAGGCAACGGGGGCAACCCGGAGCUAGCCAUGCCGCGUGAGUGAAGAAGGCCUUAGGGUUGUAAAGCUCUUUCAGCUGGGAAGAUAAUGACGGUACCAGCAGAAGAAGCCCCGGCUAACUCCGUG